rnacentral:rRNA from 1 species
UUCGACACACUAUCAUUAACUGAAUCCAUAGGUUAAUGAGGCGAACCGGGGGAACUGAAACAUCUAAGUACCCCGAGGAAAAGAAAUCAACCGAGAUUCCCCCAGUAGCGGCGAGCGAACGGGGAGCAGCCCAGAGCCUGAAUCAGUGUGUGUGUUAGUGGAAGCGUCUGGAAAGGCGUGCGAUACAGGGUGACAGCCCCGUACACAAAAAUGCACAUAUUGUGAGCUCGAUGAGUAGGGCGGGACACGUGGUAUCCUGUCUGAAUAUGGGGGGACCAUCCUCCAAGGCUAAAUACUCCUGACUGACCGAUAGUGAACCAGUACCGUGAGGGAAAGGCGAAAAGAACCCCGGCGAGGGGAGUGAAAAAGAACCUGAAACCGUGUACGUACAAGCAGUGGGAGCACAGAGCAAUCUGUGUGACUGCGUACCUUUUGUAUAAUGGGUCAGCGACUUAUAUUCUGUAGCAAGGUUAACCGAAUAGGGGAGCCGAAGGGAAACCGAGUCUUAACUGGGCGUUAAGUUGCAGGGUAUAGACCCGAAACCCGGUGAUCUAGCCAUGGGCAGGUUGAAGGUUGGGUAACACUAACUGGAGGACCGAACCGACUAAUGUUGAAAAAUUAGCGGAUGACUUGUGGCUGGGGGUGAAAGGCCAAUCAAACCGGGAGAUAGCUGGUUCUCCCCGAAAGCUAUUUAGGUAGCGCCUCGUGAAUUCAUCUCCGGGGGUAGAGCACUGUUUCGGCAAGGGGGUCAUCCCGACUUACCAACCCGAUGCAAACUGCGAAUACCGGAGAAUGUUAUCACGGGAGACACACGGCGGGUGCUAACGUCCGUCGUGAAGAGGGAAACAACCCAGACCGCCAGCUAAGGUCCCAAAGUCAUGGUUAAGUGGGAAACGAUGUGGGAAGGCCCAGACAGCCAGGAUGUUGGCUUAGAAGCAGCCAUCAUUUAAAGAAAGCGUAAUAGCUCACUGGUCGAGUCGGCCUGCGCGGAAGAUGUAACGGGGCUAAACCAUGCACCGAAGCUGCGGCAGCGACGCUGAUGCGUUGUUGGGUAGGGGAGCGUUCUGUAAGCCUGUGAAGGUGUGCUGUGAGGCAUGCUGGAGGUAUCAGAAGUGCGAAUGCUGACAUAAGUAACGAUAAAGCGGGUGAAAAGCCCGCUCGCCGGAAGACCAAGGGUUCCUGUCCAACGUUAAUCGGGGCAGGGUGAGUCGACCCCUAAGGCGAGGCCGAAAGGCGUAGUCGAUGGGAAACAGGUUAAUAUUCCUGUACUUGGUGUUACUGCGAAGGGGGGACGGAGAAGGCUAUGUUGGCCGGGCGACGGUUGUCCCGGUUUAAGCGUGUAGGCUGGUUUUCCAGGCAAAUCCGGAAAAUCAAGGCUGAGGCGUGAUGACGAGGCACUACGGUGCUGAAGCAACAAAUGCCCUGCUUCCAGGAAAAGCCUCUAAGCAUCAGGUAACAUCAAAUCGUACCCCAAACCGACACAGGUGGUCAGGUAGAGAAUACCAAGGCGCUUGAGAGAACUCGGGUGAAGGAACUAGGCAAAAUGGUGCCGUAACUUCGGGAGAAGGCACGCUGAUAUGUAGGUGAAGUCCCUCGCGGAUGGAGCUGAAAUCAGUCGAAGAUACCAGCUGGCUGCAACUGUUUAUUAAAAACACAGCACUGUGCAAACACGAAAGUGGACGUAUACGGUGUGACGCCUGCCCGGUGCCGGAAGGUUAAUUGAUGGGGUCAGCGCAAGCGAAGCUCUUGAUCGAAGCCCCGGUAAACGGCGGCCGUAACUAUAACGGUCCUAAGGUAGCGAAAUUCCUUGUCGGGUAAGUUCCGACCUGCACGAAUGGCGUAAUGAUGGCCAGGCUGUCUCCACCCGAGACUCAGUGAAAUUGAACUCGCUGUGAAGAUGCAGUGUACCCGCGGCAAGACGGAAAGACCCCGUGAACCUUUACUAUAGCUUGACACUGAACAUUGAGCCUUGAUGUGUAGGAUAGGUGGGAGGCUUUGAAGUGUGGACGCCAGUCUGCAUGGAGCCGACCUUGAAAUACCACCCUUUAAUGUUUGAUGUUCUAACGUUGACCCGUGAUCCGGGUUGCGGACAGUGUCUGGUGGGUAGUUUGACUGGGGCGGUCUCCUCCUAAAGAGUAACGGAGGAGCACGAAGGUUGGCUAAUCCUGGUCGGACAUCAGGAGGUUAGUGCAAUGGCAUAAGCCAGCUUGACUGCGAGCGUGACGGCGCGAGCAGGUGCGAAAGCAGGUCAUAGUGAUCCGGUGGUUCUGAAUGGAAGGGCCAUCGCUCAACGGAUAAAAGGUACUCCGGGGAUAACAGGCUGAUACCGCCCAAGAGUUCAUAUCGACGGCGGUGUUUGGCACCUCGAUGUCGGCUCAUCACAUCCUGGGGCUGAAGUAGGUCCCAAGGGUAUGGCUGUUCGCCAUUUAAAGUGGUACGCGAGCUGGGUUUAGAACGUCGUGAGACAGUUCGGUCCCUAUCUGCCGUGGGCGCUGGAGAACUGAGGGGGGCUGCUCCUAGUACGAGAGGACCGGAGUGGACGCAUCACUGGUGUUCGGGUUGUCAUGCCAAUGGCACUGCCCGGUAGCUAAAUGCGGAAGAGAUAAGUGCUGAAAGCAUCUAAGCACGAAACUUGCCCCGAGAUGAGUUCUCCCUGACCCUUUAAGGGUCCUGA